rnacentral:rRNA from 1 species
GUGGGGAAUAUUGGACAAUGGGCGCAAGCCUGAUCCAGCCAUGCCGCGUGAGUGAUGAAGGCCUUAGGGUUGUAAAGCUCUUUCAGUGGGGACGAUAAUGACGGUACCCACAGAAGAAGCCCCGGCUAACUUCGUGCCAGCAGCCGCGGUAAUACGAAGGGGGCUAGCGUUGUUCGGAUUUACUGGGCGUAAAGCGCACGUAGGCGGAUCGUUAAGUCGGGGGUGAAAUCCUGGAGCUCAACUCCAGAACUGCCUUCGAUACUGGCGAUCUCGAGUCCGGAAGAGGUGAGUGGAACUCCUAGUGUAGAGGUGGAAUUCGUAGAUAUUAGGAAGAACACCAGUGGCGAAGGCGGCUCACUGGUCCGGUACUGACGCUGAGGUGCGAAAGCGUGGGGAGCAAACAGGAUUAGAAACCCCGGUAGUCC